rnacentral:rRNA from 1 species
GACGAACGCUGGCGGCGUGCUUAACACAUGCAAGUCGAACGAAUAGCGAUGGACGCUUGCUUCUAUCACUCUUAGUGGCGAACGGGUGAGUAACGCGUAAUCAACCUGCCCUUCAGAGGGGGACAACAGUUGGAAACGACUGCUAAUACCGCAUACGAUCUAAUCUCGGCAUCGAGCAUAGAUGAAAGGUGGCCUCUACAUGUAAGCUAUCACUGCAGGAGGGGAUUGCGUCUGAUUAGCUAGUUGGAGGGGUAACGGCCCACCAAGGCGAUGAUCAGUAGCCGGUCUGAGAGGAUGAACGGCCACAUUGGGACUGAGACACGGCCCAGACUCCUACGGGAGGCAGCAGUGGGGAAUCUUCCGCAAUGGACGAAAGUCUGACGGAGCAACGCCGCGUGAGCGAUGACGGCCUUCGGGUUGUAAAGCUCUGUUAAUCGGGACGAAAGGCAUUCUGGCGAAUAGUGAGAAGGAUUGACGGUACCGGAAUAGAAAGCCACGGCUAACUACGU